rnacentral:tRNA from 1 species
UUACUUUGGCAGAUUAGUGUGUUUGAUUUAGGAUCAUUUUAAGUAAGAGUUUACAGGUAAUA